AGAGUUUGAUCCUGGCUCAGGAUAAACGCUGGCGGCGCACAUAAGACAUGCAAGUCGAACGGACGAAUAGAAUUCUUUUAGAUUUCUAUGAGUUAGUGGCGGACUGGUGAGUAACGCGUGAGCAACCUACCUAUAAGAGGGGAAUAACGAAGAGAAAUUUUCGCUAAUACCGCAUAAGCUGAUAGAACCGCAUGGUUUAGUCAGAAAAGGAGCAAUCCGCUAAUAGAUGGGCUCGCGUCCGAUUAGCUAGUUGGUUAGGUAAAGGCUGACCAAGGCAACGAUCGGUAGCCGGACUGAGAGGUUGAACGGCCACAUUGGGACUGAGAUACGGCCCAGACUCCUACGGGAGGCAGCAGUCGGGAAUAUUGCGCAAUGGAGGAAACUCUGACGCAGUGACGCCGCGUAUAGGAAGAAGGUUUUCGGAUUGUAAACCUCUGUACUGCGGGACGAGGAGAAGACGGUACCGCAGAAGGAAGCCCCGGCUAACUACGUGCC
rnacentral:rRNA from 1 species